rnacentral:rRNA from 1 species
UACGUAUGGAGCAAGCGUUAUCCGGAUUUACUGGGUGUAAAGGGAGCGCAGGCGGCUUUGCAAGUCUGAUGUGAAAGGCCGGGGCUCAACCCCGGGACUGCAUUGGAAACUGUAAAGCUAGAGUGCCGGAGAGGUAAGCGGAAUUCCUAGUGUAGCGGUGAAAUGCGUAGAUAUUAGGAGGAGCACCAGUGGCGAAGGCGGCUUACUGGACGGCAACUGACGCUGAGGCUCGAAAGCGUGGGGAGCAAACAGG